rnacentral:rRNA from 1 species
GUUCCGACCAAAUUUCGUGCCAGCAGUCGCGGUAAGACGGAGGGAGCAAGCAUUAAUCAUAAGAAAUGGGUCUAAAGGGAUCGUAGACGGUAUUAAAAGUUCCAGUACAAUUGGUAAUACUUUAAAACUAGAGUUAUUAUUAAAAAUAAGUAUUUUUAGAGUAAAGAUUAAAUUUUAAUACUAGAAAGACUUCUUUUAUUUUUUUUAUUUAACUGACGUUGAGGAUCGUAGGCUAGGGGCGCAAACCGGAUUAGAUACCCGAUUAGUCCUAGCUGUAAACGAUGAAUGCUAAUUUUUGUCGAUUAUUUUAUAUAAUUACAA